AUGCGGCAGGGCCGGGCCGCAGGGCUGGCGGGGCUGGCCGCGGUGCUCCUGGUGGCUGCAGGGAGAGCCCAGGUGCAGCAGGAGCCGUGGGCAGAGACCAGGGAUGGCACCGGCAUCAACAUCACCUGCUCACACCCCAACAUCCAGACUGGUGACUCCAUCCACUGGUACCGUCAGCUCCCAGGCCGAGGACCCACAUUCCUCGUGAGGGCUUAUAGUGGGUCCCAAGAUGUGACGGACCUAGCAGGGCGGCUAUCGGUGGCAGCAGACCGCCGGUCCAGCGCCCUGUGGCUCGCCCAGCCCCGGCUUCGGGACGCGGCGGUGUAUUACUGCGCCCUGAGAGCCACGGGGAGAGGAGCCGGGACUGCGGCCGGGCAGGAACCGUGGCGGGCGGGGCCGGGCGUGUGUGGCGGGGGCGAGGCAGGGGCACAGCCCCCAGGGGGCGCUGCCGCUCCGCCCGCCGGGACCACGUCGCCCCGCAGCCCCGGGGGGCCCCGCCAGCCCGGCCCCUCCAAGGCACUUCAGUUCUGCUGGAAGGGUCUGGAGCCUGGGUACAGCUGAACGGAGAUGGCACCAGCCUGGCAGAGGCGUGUCCAGGGAAGAGGCACUGAAACACAGCUCCUUUCUCCUGAGCCCUCCUUUUCCUCACGCUGCAACAAUCGCCCUCUGGUACUGCCAA